AGAAGUAAACUGCGAAUAAUUUCCUCUACAAAUGUCAACAUACUGUCCUGGAAUAUUUUGAUGUUACUAUCAGUACAUAUUAGUUGUUUUGAAAAGAUAAUUCGGGCUUCUCAAUGCUGGUGUCACGAUCCCUAUGGAGACUGAAGCAGCUCAGCCAGAAAAGGGGUCCAAAACUGCGGCUCCACCCCGAACGAAAAAACCCGCCAUGGAAAUCUACGUGCCCAAGAAACGCCAGGCCGAGAAGAUGGAGAAGCCUCAGGCAGGCGGUGACAAGAAAUCCAGACCCAGGUCCCGGUACACCGACAAGGCCCACAAGAACAAGAAGGACAAAGCCAAAGCGACAGAGACCCCAAACGGAGAGGUAAAACCGGAUGACGGGGGGUGGGAGGAGGGAGAUAAAGAAAACCUAAACAUGCACACAGUUAAAGAGGAGGAGUCUAGAGAUGAUACGGACAAUGUAUCCAGAACUAUAAACACACCAGAGGACACGGGUAGUGCACUAGAACAUGAUGGGGUGCCAAAAGAGGAGGAUGAAGGGGAGAACUGGGAUUCUUUCUUUAAUGAUGAUGGUGACUGUCUUGACCCACAUUUAAUGGAGGAGAUGUCUCUUAAGGAGGGCCGCAAGAAGCCGUCUAUACAGGAGCCACGCUUCGACUACUAUAAUUGGACGCCGGAGGAGGAGGUGGAGCUUCGGGAAGAUGAGCUGUCACACAUCGUGGAGAUUUACCACUUCCCGUCUGAGUUCAAGACGGAGGACUUGAUCAGAUCCUUCAGCUCGUUCCAGCAAAAGGGGUUUGACAUCAAGUGGAUUGACGACACUCAUGCCCUGGGUUUGUUCUCCAGUCCCAUCGCAGCUCGUGAUGCUCUGAGGAUGAAGAACCCCAUGAUGAAGGUCAGGCCUCUCUCCAAAUCAUCAAACGCCACUAAAGCCAAAGCACGCAGCUGCUCCGAUUACCUGCUGCCGGCUAAAGAGCGUCCUCAGACGAGUGCGGCUCUGGCACGCCGCCUGGUGAUCGGGGCUCUGGGUGUGAAGAGUAACCAGACCAGAGAAGAGCGAGAGGCCGAGAGGAACAAACUACGGCAGGCGAGAGAACAAAAGCACUUGGCUGCUGAGCAGCGGGAAGACGUCUCGGAGGGCAAAUGAAGACAGGAGUGGGACCUUCAGCAGGACUACUGCCAAACCAGCACGGUCUGAACCAAAGCCACAAGAACAGGGACACGGGGGUUCAUCGAAGCGAAGUGUGAGAGCCACACACUGCAACAGGGACAUUUUGUAAUUUUAUAUCUUUCCUCAUUAGAUUUUUGAACUGAACUUUUCCCUGUAAAUGUUUGAUUGUUUUAUUUUUAUUUUUUUGCUUCAGUAAAGAGAAAAGUCGACACUAAAUCUGAUAAUGUCUUUCAUGCCACUUUUUUUGUGUAAAUGAGUGAAUCUCAAAAUGUCAACUCAAAAAAAACCUUUUUUACUUGUACUGCCAUAAAUUGCAUAUUUUUCAAUGAAAAUUGAAUUAGUGACUAUUUUCUAAAUCCUAAUUGAGAAUUGCAAUAUGGUUGUAAAAAUAGGCUUUUUUGUAAGAAUGACAUUAGACUAAAGUCAAUUGUGAACAUUUUAUUUAAUACCAAUCAAGUAUUUUGCAAACCAUCAGCACAUUCUAACAGAACUUAUUUUUGUAUAUGUUCUUUCAUUAUUACUGUAAAUACUGUGCUGUUUUGUUUAUCCACAAAAGGUUUUGUUCAGCUACUAAAUUGACAGAUGCACUUCUUCAUGUGUCUGUUGUUCUCAGAUGUUGGUGCACUUGAAUUCCCAGCUCUGCUCUGAAUAAACAUGUUCAAAUCUUU